GACGAACGCUGGCGGCGUGCUUAACACAUGCAAGUCGAACGGUGAUGCUCCAGCUUGCUGGAGUGGAUCAGUGGCGAACGGGUGAGUAACACGUGAGCAACCUGCCCCAGACUCUGGUAUAAGCGCUGGAAACGGCGUCUAAUACUGGAUACGAAACUUGCCCGCAUGGGCAUGGUUUGGUAAGUUUUUCGGUUUGGGAUGGGCUCGCUGCCUAUCAGCUUGUUGGUGAUGUAAUUGCUCACCAAAGCGACGACGGGUAGCCGGCCUGAGAGGGGGACCGGCCACAAUGGGACUGAGACACGGACCAGACUCAAACGGGAGGCAGCAGUGGGGAAUAUUGCACAAUGGGAGAAAGCCUGAUGCAGAGACGCCGCGUGAGGGAUGACGGCCUACGGGUUGUAAACCUAUUUCAGCAGGGAAGAAGAGAAAGUGACGGUACCUGCAGAAGAAGCAACGGCUAACUACGUG
rnacentral:rRNA from 1 species